GACGAACGCUGGCGGCGUGCUUAACACAUGCAAGUCGAACGGAAAGGCCCUGCUUGCAGGGUACUCGAGUGGCGAACGGGUGAGUAACACGUGGGUGAUCUGCCCUGCACUUCGGGAUAAGCCUGGGAAACUGGGUCUAAUACCGGAUAGGAGCCAUUUUUAGUGUGAUGGUUGGAAAGUUUUUUCGGUGUAGGAUGAGCUCGCGGCCUAUCAGCUUGUUGGUGGGGUAAUGGCCUACCAAGGCGGCGACGGGUAGCCGGCCUAAGAGGGUGGACGGCCACAUUGGGACUGAGAUACGGCCCAGACUCCUACGGGAGGCAGCAGUGGGGAAUAUUGCACAAUGGGCGCAGGCCUGAUGCAGCGACGCCGCGUGGGGGAUGACGGCCUUCGGGUUGUAAACUCCUUUCGCUAGGGACGAAGCUUUUUGUGACGGUACCUAGAUAAGAAGCACCGGCUAACUACGUG
rnacentral:rRNA from 1 species